UACGUAGGGUGCAAGCGUUAUCCGGAAUUAUUGGGCGUAAAGAGCUCGUAGGCGGUUUGUCGCGUCUGCUGUGAAAACUGGAGGCUCAACCUCCAGCCUGCAGUGGGUACGGGCAGACUAGAGUGCGGUAGGGGAGAUUGGAAUUCCUGGUGUAGCGGUGGAAUGCGCAGAUAUCAGGAGGAACACCAAUGGCGAAGGCAGAUCUCUGGGCCGUAACUGACGCUGAGGAGCGAAAGCAUGGGGAGCAAACAGG
rnacentral:rRNA from 1 species